AAAAAGACAAACUCUGGGUUUCCGUGUCCAACAUUUGACCGUCCGUCUUAUUUGAAAAAAAUAUGAAAAAAAUUAAAAAGACAAGUCACGCAUAAAGUAUUAAUCAUGUUUUAUCAUCUAACAACAAUGAAAAUACUAAUUAUAAAAAAAAUUCAUAUAAGACAGACAGUCAAACGUUGGACACGGAAACCCAGGGUUUGUCAUUUU
rnacentral:pre_miRNA from 1 species